AGAUUUAACUUCUCUAGGACUGCCCAGAUGACUGCAUGUAUGAUUUGUGUCCUUUUAAGGCAGCUCACUUAGAGACAUACGGCUCCCACCCUUUAGUGGUGAUGCUAAUUUUAAUCACCCGGUCAAGUGUUUGGUGAAAAAUAGCCAGCCUGGGUCUGGUGUCUGAGGCUGAAAGGGCGCUGAUGGUUUGAUAACUGAAAGAAGGUUUGUACACAAGGCCAGAAGUAUACUCUGUCCUCCCAAGAGAAUGGAACAUCCUGGAUUGAUGCAUAUCUGAAGCGACAAGACCUUCAUGUUUUCAAGGUGAUGAGAGAGGACACUUCAAAAGUGAUCACUGGGCCGAGUCUGUCAAACAGAGGCUUAAGUACAUCCUCCCUCUCAGGAGACAAG